UUUUGGGCGCCAUAUUUUGAUACUCGUGUUCGCAAACUGUGUCUCUGAAUAUUCUCAUUUUUAUGAUCAGAACUUUUAUAAGAACUGAAGUGUUAUAAAGAUUCAGUAAAGAAAGACUCGAGGGGACAGUUGGGUGAUAUUUUUAUCGAUAUUUGACCGUACGGGGAAAAGAUCAAAAGCUGAAACCAUGUCUAGGAAAUGCGAGGUUUGUAUAAACAAGGUAUUUUCUACAAAAGGAAAUUUGGUGAGACAUAAAAGAACGCACAGUGAAGACAAACCUUAUGAAUGUGAUGUUUGUAAGAAGAGAUUUUGUGAUCCAAGUAGUUUUGCCAGACAUAAAAGAACACACACUACAGACAAACCUUAUGAAUGCGAUGUUUGCAACAAAAGAUUUUCGCGGUCACAUGUCUUAACUGUGCAUAAAAGAACACACACUGGAGAGAAACCUUAUGAAUGUGAUGUUUGCAACAAAAGAUUUUCGCGAUCUGACCUGUUAGCGGUUCAUAAAAGAACACACACUGGAGACAAACCUUAUGAAUGUGAUGUUUGCAACAGAAGAUUUUCACACUCAAGCACCUUAGUUAGACACAAAAGAACACACACUGGAGACAAACCUUAUGAAUGUGAUGUUUGCAACAAAAGAUUUUCACACUCAAGCACCUUAGUUACACACAAAAGAACACACACUGGAAACAAACCUUAUGAAUGUGAUGUUUGCAACAAAAGAUUUUCUAAUCCAAGUAGUUUUGCCAGACAUAAAAGAACACACACUGGAGACAAACCUUAUGAAUGUGAUGUUUGCAACAAAAGAUUUUUACACUCAAGCACCUUAGUUACACACAAAAGAACACACACUGGAGACAAACCUUAUGAAUGUGAUGUUUGCAACAAAAGAUAUUCUGAUCCAAGUAGUUUUGCCAGACAUAAAAGAACACACACUACAGACAAACCUUAUCAAUGCGAUGUUUGCAACAAAAAAUUUUCACAGUCAGGCAACUUAGCUAGACAUGAAAGAACACACGCUGGAUACAAACCUUAUGAAUGUGAUGUUUGUAACAAAAGGUUUUUGCAUUCAGGCAGCUUAGGGCUUCAUAAGAGAACACACACUCGAGACAAACCUUAUGAAUGUGAUAUUUGUAAGAAGAAAUUUCCCUGGUCGGCCAUUUAGCUAGGCAUAAGAAAACACAUACUGGAGACAAACCUUAUGAAUGUCACGUUUGCAACAAGAGAUUUUCAGAAUCACGCAAGUUAACCUGGCAUAAAAUAUCAGCACACAAGGUAAAGCAAAGUUUUGAGUGUCCUAAAUGUAUGAAAACAUUCACACUUCAUAGAAAUCUCAAACGUCACUGGAGAGUACAUUUGAGAGAUGGCUUAUUAUUUUGCAACAGUUGUGGCAGGGAAAUUUGUCAAGGACAUGCUAGUUAGAUACUGAGUGAUGAUAAUUUUCUCUGUGACAAAUGCAACAAACAGUUCCCUGAUAAUUGAAAGUUUAUGUCAGCACAAGGCCAAAGACCAUGGUACGUCCUACCAAUGUGAUGUCUGUAAGGAAUUAGAAGCAAGAGAAGCAACUGGUAUUGGUUAUAUCUGUUGUGUCUGUGAUGUCUAGUUUGAAAUUGCCACUCAACUUGAAGAUCAUAUGAGUAUGCAUGACAAUGUGCUGCCCUGCUAGCUAGGCAACAUAAAUUAAAACUAUUUUGGGUAAUACGUUCUUUCUCCAAUUUAUCUUGAAAUUGUUUGGGAUUGUUUGACUUGUUUUGUGAUUGUUUUAAAUUUUUUUAAUUAAAUACAGUAUAAACUGUUCCGUACUGACAAUGAUAUUGAAAUUUUGGUGAUGAUUCAAUCAUGUGUUGAUUGAGGGAUCCAUUUAUCAACUGACAUCAUUUUUGUAAUUAUCUGUUGUUUUUGGUUGGAAAUUUAUUCAUUAAACAAGCCUCCCAGGCUCCCGCUAUAA